rnacentral:rRNA from 1 species
UACGAAGGGGGGCUAGCGUUGCUCGGAAUUACUGGGCGUAAAGCGCACGUAGGCGGCUUUCUAAGUCGGGGGUGAAAUCCUGGAGCUCAACUCCAGAACUGCCUUCGAUACUGGAGAGCUCGAGUCCGGGAGAGGUGAGUGGAACUGCGAGUGUAGAGGUGAAAUUCGUAGAUAUUCGCAAGAACACCAGUGGCGAAGGCGGCUCACUGGCCCGGUACUGACGCUGAGGUGCGAAAGCGUGGGGAGCAAACAGGG